AGCAGCCGCGGUAAUUCCAGCUCCAAUAGCGUAUAUUAAAGUUGUUGCCGUUAAAAAAGCUCGUAGUUGAACCUUAGGCCCGUGCGGGUGGUCCGUCCUCAGGGCGAGCACUGCCUCGUCGCGAGUCUCACCUUCUGGCGAGCGCGGAUGCCAUUCGUUUGGUGCCCGCGGGAACCAGGACCUUUACCUUGAAAAAAUUAGAGUGCUCAAAGCGGGCUCAGACGCUUGAAUACAUUAGCAUGGAAUAAUGAAAUAGGACGAUGGUUCUAUUUUGUUGGUUUCCGGGACCGUCGUAAUGAUUAAUAGGGAUAGUUGGGGGCAUUCGUAUUCAAUUGUCAGCGGUGAAAUUCUUGGAUUUAUUGAAGACUAACUACUGCGAAAGCAUUUGCCAAGGAUGUUUCAUUAAUCAGUGAACGAAAGUUAGGGAUCGAAGACGAUCAGAUACCGUCGUAGUCUUAACCAUAAACUA
rnacentral:rRNA from 1 species